GAAUAAGUAUUAAACAAAAAUUUCUUUCAUUCAACUUUUGCAGGGAUGUUGUUUAGGGCUGCAUUGAUAUUGAUUUCCUUCUAAUUUUCUGCUCAUAAUUUUCUUGAUACUUUUUCUUAAGCUCAUGAGAUGUAGAGAUUUUUAUUUAUACGCUUUGAUUGUUUUUUUUUUCUUUUUGUUGAUUGGGUGGUUUUCUUUCUCUACUGAUAUAAUGAAAUAUAAAUUUAAUUUUAUUUGUAGGGAACUUAUGUUUAGGGCAUCAACGAAGAAGUUGUUUUGUUCCUUGCUCAUGCUCUUUCCUUGAUAGCAUUUGAAGAAGAUUGGUAGAAAUUACUUUAGCCCAUUGUAUGUCGUAGUUUAUACGGUGGAUUUGCGAAGUGGUACAUGGAAAAAUUUUACACAUUUUUAUGAAGGGUUGGGACGGGGGCUGAAAAUAUUAUCAUAGAAGUUUGGGCAGUCUAGUUAUUCUUCUAUAAUCUCAAUAUAUUUUUUUUCAAUCUUACAUCAAUGGUUUGGAAGAAUUCAUUUGGAGCAUUGAAGCCAAUUUGGAGCAAUUGAUUGAUAUAACAUCUUUUGUAUGGUUGGUAGCAAACUCUUGCUUUCAAUGUAUUGAUUUUAUACUUCUUGCUUUCAAUGUCAAUGUAUAUUGUUUUUCUAUGGAAACUACAUUUGAACUAAACAAAUGGUUAUUAGUCAA